GCCAGCAGCUAUAUCAUCCUGUAACUCACAACUGGCAACCCACUGAAGAAGGAGUGAGCCUGGUCAGUACCUGGAUGGGAGACGCCUGGGAAAAACUAAGGUUGCUGCUGGAA
rnacentral:rRNA from 1 species